GGUUCCGGCUUCACCGCCGGCCAAGAGGGAACGCCGUGAAAUUCGGCGACAGUACCCGCUGCUGUGAAUCCCGUUUUCGCCCGAAACACGCAAAGCCACUGCCCGGCCACGGGGUCGCGCGGGAAGGCGUUUCGGGCGGGGAUAAGUCAGAAGACCUGCCGCCGAGU
rnacentral:ncRNA from 1 species